rnacentral:rRNA from 1 species
UACGAAGGGGGCUAGCGUUGUUCGGAAUUACUGGGCGUAAAGCGCACGUAGGCGGAUUUGUUAGUCAGGGGUGAAAUCCCGGGGCUCAACCUCGGAACUGCCUUUGAUACUGCAAGUCUCGAGUCCGGAAGAGGUGAGUGGAAUUCCUAGUGUAGAGGGUGAAAAUUCGUAGAUAUUCGCAAGAACACCAGUCGGCGAAGGCGGCUCACUG